rnacentral:rRNA from 1 species
CCUACGGGCGGCAGCAGUGAGGAAUAUUGGUCAAUGGACGAGAGUCUGAACCAGCCAAGUAGCGUGAAGGAUGACUGCCCUAUGGGUUGUAAACUUCUUUUAUAUGGGAAUAAAAUGUUCCACGUGUGGGAUUUUGUAUGUACCAAAUGAAUAAGGAUCGGCUAACUCCGUGCCAGCAGCCGCGGUAAUACGGAGGAUCCGAGCGUUAUCCGGAUUUAUUGGGUUUAAAGGGAGCGUAGGUGGAUUGUUAAGUCAGUUGUGAAAGUUUGCGGCUCAACCGUAAAAUUGCAGUUGAAACUGGCAGUCUUGAGUACAGUAGAGGUGGGCGGAAUUCGUGGUGUAGCGGUGAAAUGCUUAGAUAUCACGAAGAACUCCGAUUGCGAAGGCAGUUCACUGGACUGCAACUGACACUGAGGCUCGAAAGUGUGGGUAUCAAACAGGAUUAGAUACCCGUGUAGUC